UGGGGAAUCUUGCGCAAUGCACGAAAGUGUGACGCAGCAACGCCGCGUGGGGGAAGAAGGCCUUCGGGUUGUAAACCCCUUUCAGGAGGGACGAAGCCUGGCUGGUGAAUAGCCUGUCCAGGUGACGGUACCUCCACAAGAAGCCCCGGCUAACUACGUGCCAGCAGCCGCGGUAAUACGUAGGGGGCAAGCGUUGUCCGGAAUCAUUGGGCGUAAAGAGCGUGUAGGCGGUCCGGUAAGUCGGUUGUGAAAGUCGGGGGCUCAACCCUCGGAGGCCGACCGAUACUGUCGGGCUAGAGUCCGGAAGAGGCGAGUGGAAUUCCUGGUGUAGCGGUGAAAUGCGCAGAUAUCAGGAGGAACACCAAUGGCGAAGGCAGCUCGCUGGGACGGUACUGACGCUGAGACGCGAAAGCGUGGGGAGCAAACAGG
rnacentral:rRNA from 1 species